UUUUAAUUUUGAAGACCAGCCCCCCCUCAAUUCACUCUCCUCCUUUCUCAACUCAUUCCCGUUCAAUACUCACCAACCCACGCCGCCGCCGCAGAUUCAACUCACUCACAUCGCCGCCGGUCUGGGUUGCCGCCGAUUCGGGUUGCCGGGAUUCUGCCUUGCUUUCUCUUCCGUGGUCCCUCUUUCAUCUCAAACCCCUACUCCGAUUUUCUCUUUCAUCUCAAACCCCUUUAUAAUCUCCUUUUCUCUCCUCUCCAUCCUCACAGAUCUGUCGCUCUAAAACUUCUGGUUCGAGACUCCGUCGCCGUCGCCAUGACACCAAUUGCUGAAGGUGAUUUGCUGCAUUUUCGUCCCUCAAUCAUCUUCUUCUCGCAUUUGCUUCUGAAGGUGUUAGCUCUUCAUGCUCGUUAAAAUCAACCAAGAAUCGCAUCUUAGCUGAAGUGGAGUAUCAAAUUGAGAAGAUACUUGCUCUGGUGUUUGAGAAAUACAAUCCUUGGAUGAAUCAUUGCCUUUCUGGAAUGACAUAAGUCUUCAGGCCUUCAAGUGGGCAUGUAGGCCUUCAAUAGGUUGUGUAUGGAUCGGAAGAGCACUUCAUCUCUAAGCUUCUAGGCUCAAGUCUCAUGUCUCUCUGGGUUUCCAACUCAAGGUAGCCUAGUUGUCUUUGUAAGCUACGUUGAUAGAUCAGAUGGGGUAUGCUAAUUCAAGUUAUAUUGCACUUGAUGCAUCAUGACAUCGAUGCUGCUUCUGUCUUUGCUGCUGCUGCUACUUCUGUGCUGCUGCUGAUCUGCCUCUGUGGUGCCCUAAGUCGGUUUUGAACGGCCAGUGCCUAUUUGCCUUUUUCUACUCGUGAGGUGAUCGAGCAUGCUUGUGUUCGUACUCAAUCAAACUGUGCAAAGUCCAUAUGCUGCUGUCCAAAGUUGAUGUUGUUGAUGUUUUCGUUUGCUGAAUAGGCUGCUAGCCUUAUUUGUAAAGUUUUGUUAUUUGUAAAAAGUUUACAUUGUAAAACUAAGAUAAAUUCUAUGAAUUUUAUUCUUUUAUUAUGUA